GCCGGAGUGGCGAAAUGGCAGACGCGUCGGACUCAAAAUCCGAUACCCGCAAGGGUGUGGGGGUUCAAGUCCCUUCUCCGGCA
rnacentral:tRNA from 1 species